rnacentral:lncRNA from 1 species
UUCAAUUAUCUCAGUCUAAUACUUUGCUUAUUUUUCUGUUCUUUACACAGCACAAUACUUUGCUUCAUUAGAUUCGUAUACACAACAACAUCUGCAGGCACCAGGCAGGCGGGUCUCUGCAGCAGUCCCUCUACCUAAUAACCAGCGUAACCCAGCCAAACCAGCCAUACCAACCCGCACCCACGGUUCUCCUAGCUGUUAGCAACCCGUACAAAACCAGCCCGGCCCGCACCAGCAAGUUGCCUCUUGGUUUGGUUUGGAACAAACCAGGAACCCGGAAAACCGGACCAUGAACAGGGUUAGUUCUGUGGUGCUUCUCUGUACCCUUGCGGAUGGGCAGCAGUAGGACGAUCAGCUACCGAAGGCAACUCCGGCUCUGGUUU